AUGUCCACCGACGCCGAACGUGCCGCCGCCGAGAAAGCUGAAGCUGACAAGAAGGCCGCCGAGGACGCCGUUGCUGCCACCAAAGCCGCGGCCUCUGCAUGGCCUACUGGAGGGUAUAACUCGUUUAUCCCGCUCCUACUGUUUUCUGUUUUAGCCAUGCUAGCGUUAUACGUAGAUCUUUCUGCAAUUAGCGUAGUAUGUGCUACUUUGACUGAAUAUCAGUAUGCGAUCAUAUGUGUCAAUGCCAUGCUAGUGAUUUACUCGUGGAUUAAUUUAAUCGAGAAAUUGCCUAUUUACUCAACCAAUCUAAAAACCUAUUAUGUGUAG
rnacentral:rRNA from 1 species